GCCAUAUGCAUAUAAUGGCAGUAACGAUCAACCUUGGUGUUACGGGUUCGGCCAGACAUUUGAUUACAUAACACAACAAAGUCCCAUUCGGCACCUCUGACACUCCUUGCUAGCUCUUUUUCAACAGGAGUGUCACCAGUACCUCCAAGCAGAUAUGUAAUCGGGAACAGAACCCUGCAAAGUGGAAGUUAUGUAUUCCGUCAUAUGUAUCCGCACCCGGCCCGAACUUUUAGUCAUUCGUCUCAAAAUCCAAUAGUGAGCAAGAAGUUCAGGUAUAGCCGGACGGUAUGAGCGGAAGCAUGGUUAUGAUUAUGGUACAUUGGUCGACGCCGCGUUGGGGCAAGUCCGGGUCCGGGUACGGUGACAGACAUAGGAAACCGACUGACAAGAGUUCGUGACAGUGACAGUGACAGUGACAGUGACAGUAAUAGUGGACGGGAUGAAGGAAGGGAGCACAGUGGCUCUUAUCAGUAUACACUACAUACUAUGUACAGACUUAUGACGUU